rfam:Mus musculus chromosome 5, GRC primary reference assembly.
CAUGGAGAAACAUGACUUGGCUGGUGUGGUACAGAGAAGCCAGCUUGUUUUCAUGUUUAUUCCAUG